rnacentral:rRNA from 1 species
GACGAACGCUGGCGGCGUGCUUAACACAUGCAAGUCGAACGGAAAGGCCUUUUCGGAGGUACUCGAGUGGCGAACGGGUGAGUAACACGUGGGUGAUCUGCCCUGCACUCUGGGAUAAGCCUGGGAAACUGGGUCUAAUACCGGAUAGGACCGCACUUUAGUGUGUGUGGUGGAAAGUUUUUUCGGUGUAGGAUGAGCCCGCGGCCUAUCAGCUUGUUGGUGGGGUAAUGGCCUACCAAGGCGGCGACGGGUAGCCGGACUGAGAGGUUGGUCGGCCACAUUGGGACUGAGAUACGGCCCAGACUCCGACGGGAGGCAGCAGUGGGGAAUACUGCACAAUGGGCGCAAGCCUGAUGCAGCGACGCCGCGUGGGGGAGGACGGCCUUCGGGUUGUAAACUCCUUUCGCCAGGGACGAAGCGUUUUGUGACGGUACCUGGAGAAGAAGCACCGGCUAACUACGUG